UUUUUCAUGGAAACAUCUGCCAAGACUACUGUCAAUGUGAAUGACAUUUUUGUUGAAAUAGCAAGAAGGUUACCGCGUGCCCAACCAGCUCUGAACCCCUCUGGGAUGGUCCUUGCCAAUAGACCUGCAGAGCAAGUGCAGACUUCUGCAUGCUGUUCUUAGGUUGUUGGCCUUCAAAUGCUUGCUUACUCUCCUACUUCCAUGUGAUGCAAGUGAAAGAAUAUGAAACCAUUGAAUGGGAGCUUGCUUUCAGGUUGGCAAAUUGGUUUGCAUUUGGAAAUAUCACUUGUGUUCAAGUUGUCCAUCUUUGUUGAUCCUGUAAAUGUUCAAAUGUUAUGCUGUGAAAUAUAAAUAUAAUUACUGUCCAUGAAAGCUGUCAGAAUUUCUCGUGUUUAUUUGUUUAAAUUUAUGUAUUAAUCAGAGAGAUUUAUGUAAUUUCAGUG